GACGAACGCUGGCGGCGUGCUUAACACAUGCAAGUCGAACGGAAAGGCCCUGCUUUUGUGGGGUGCUCGAGUGGCGAACGGGUGAGUAACACGUGAGUAACCUGCCCUUGACUUUGGGAUAACUUCAGGAAACUGGGGCUAAUACCGGAUAGGAGCUCCUGCUGCAUGGUGGGGGUCGGAAAGUUUCGGCGGUUGGGGAUGGACUCGCGGCUUAUCAGCUUGGUGGUGGGGUAGUGGCUUACCAAGGCUUUGACGGGUAGCCGGCCUGAGAGGGUGACCGGCGACAUUGGGACUGAGAUACGGCCCGGACUCCUACGGGAGGCAGCAGUGAGGAAUAUUGCACAAUGGGCGGAAGCCUGAUGCAGCAACGCCGCGUGCGGGAUGACGGCCUUCGGGUUGUAGACCGCUUUCGCCUGUGACGAAGCGUGAGUGACGGUAAUGGGUAAAGAAGCACCGGCUAACUACGUG
rnacentral:rRNA from 1 species